rnacentral:tRNA from 1 species
AGAUAGAUAAGCUAAGUUAAAAGCUAUUGGACUCAUAUUUCAACUAUAAAUAUAAAUUUUCUAUCUA